UACGUAGGUGGCAAGCGUUACUCGGAAUCACUGGGUGUAAAGCGCAGGUAGGAGGUUGGAUAAGUCUGUUGUGAAAGCUCCCGGCUUAACUGGGAGAGGCCAACGGAAACUAUUCGGCUGGAGUGCGGUAGAGGUAGCUGGAAUUCCCGGUGUAGCGGUGAAAUGCGUAGAUAUCGGGAGGAAUACCUAUGGCGAAAGCAGGCUACUGGACCGUCACUGACUCUGAUCUGCGAAAGCUAGGGGAGCAAACAGG
rnacentral:rRNA from 1 species